CUGCCCUAUAGAGGGGGAUAACGUUUGGAAACGAACGCUAAUACCGCAUAACGCGCUGGGGGGACAUCCCUUUGGCGCCAAAGGAGCAAUCCGCUAUAGGAUGGGCUCGCGUCCGAUUAGAUAGUUGGCGGGGUAACGGCCCACCAAGUCGACGAUCGGUAGCCGGACUGAGAGGUUGAACGGCCACAUUGGGACUGAGACACGGCCCAGACUCCUACGGGAGGCAGCAGUGGGGGAUAUUGCACAAUGGAGGGAACUCUGAUGCAGCGACGCCGCGUGAGGGAAGAAGGUUUUCGGAUUGUAAACCUCUGUCUUCGGUGACGAAACGAGACGGUAGCCGAGGAGGAAGCCACGGCUAACUACGUGCCAGCAGCCGCGGUAAUACGUAGGUGGCAAGCGUUGUCCGGAAUUACUGGGUGUAAAGGGAGCGUAGGCGGGAAAGCAAGUUGAAUGUUUAAGGUACGGGCUCAACCUGUACAAGCGUUCAAAACUGUUUUUCUUGAGUGGAGUAGAGGUAAGCGGAAUUCCUAGUGUAGCGGUGAAAUGCGUAAAUAUUAGGAGGAACACCAGUGGCGAAGGCGGCUUACUGGGCUUUAACUGACGCUGAGGCUCGAGAGCGUGGGUAGCAAACAGGAUUAGAUACCCUGGUAGUCCACGCCGUAAAC
rnacentral:rRNA from 1 species